rnacentral:rRNA from 1 species
GAUGAACGCUGGCGGCGUGCCUAAUACAUGCAAGUCGAGCGAACAGAUGAGGAGCUUGCUCCUCUGACGUUAGCGGCGGACGGGUGAGUAACACGUGGAUAACCUACCUAUAAGACUGGGAUAACUUCGGGAAACCGGAGCUAAUACCGGAUAAUAUAUUGAACCGCAUGGUUCAAUAGUGAAAGACGGUUUUGCUGUCACUUAUAGAUGGAUCCGCGCCGCAUUAGCUAGUUGGUAAGGUAACGGCUUACCAAGGCAACGAUGCGUAGCCGACCUGAGAGGGUGAUCGGCCACACUGGAGCUGAGACACGGUCCAGACUCCUACGGGAGGCAGCAGUAGGGAAUCUUCCGCAAUGGGCGAAAGCCUGACGGAGCAACGCCGCGUGAGUGAUGAAGGUCUUCGGAUCGUAAAACUCUGUUAUUAGGGAAGAACAAAUGUGUAAGUAACUAUGCACGUCUUGACGGUACCUAAUCAGAAAGCCACGGCUAACUACGUG